rnacentral:misc_RNA from 1 species
GUGGUGUUUGGAUCGUCCCUGCCGGCUGGCUCCGUGCCCGUCCACCGAACGGCCGGCAGGCGAUCCGCGUCGGUCGCGCGAGGUGGUAUGGUUCCCCAGAGGCCGGUUCUUGUGUUGCCUACCCUUCAGAGGGAAGCAGGCCUCCUGACGGUUGAAAGCCUCCAUCCGGCGCCCUCCAACGGGCGCAGGAGGACAACGUAGCACCCCCCGCGUUCCACCGAACCCUCGCCGGUG